rnacentral:rRNA from 1 species
GACGAACGCUGGCGGCGUGCUUAACACAUGCAAGUCGAACGGAAAGGCCCUGCUUUUGUGGGGUGCUCGAGUGGCGAACGGGUGAGUAACACGUGAGUAACCUGCCCUUGACUUUGGGAUAACUUCAGGAAACUGGGGCUAAUACCGGAUAGGAGCUCCUGCUGCAUGGUGGGGGUUGGAAAGUUUCGGCGGUUGUGGAUGGACUCGCGGCUUAUCAGCUUGUUGGUGGGGUAGUGGCUUACCAAGGCUUUGACGGGUAGCCGGCCUGAGAGGGUGACCGGCCACAAUGGGACUGAGGGACGGCCCAGAAUCCUACGGGAGGCAGCAGUGGGGAAUAUUGCACAAUGGGCGGAAGCCUGAUGCAGCAACGCCGCGUGCGGGAUAACGGCCUUCGGGUUGUAAACCGCUUUCGCCUGUGACGAAGCGUGAGUGACGGUAAUGGGUAAAGAAGCACCGGCUAACUACGUG